AUUCUCUCUCUGAGUUGCAGGGUAUCCGCCAUAGGAGAGUAUCAGCCAUAGGAGAGUAUCAGCCAUAGGAGAGUAUCAGCCAUAGCCGUCUCCUUUCCUUCCUUAGUGCCACCACCUGGUUGGAGUUGAGCCCUGUAGACACCAUGUCACAUACAAGCAUGGAUCCAACCAAGAUGGGUAUCGGCCGGUCUGUCGCCGUGCUGACCUCAGGAGGUGAUGCCCAAGGUAUGAACGCGGCUGUGAGGGCCACAGUCAGAGUUGGUCUCUACACUGGAGCCAAAGUCUACUUUGUUCAUGAGGGUUACCAGGGUCUGGUGGACGGAGGAGACAACAUCAAACUGGCCACCUGGGAGAGUGUGUCCAUGAUGCUGCAACUGGGUGGCACGGUCAUCGGCAGUGCCCGCUGCAUGGACUUCAGAGCCAGGGAGGGCCGCAUGAAGGCUGCCCUGAACUUGGUCAAGCUGGGUAUCACCAACCUGUGUGUGAUCGGGGGUGAUGGUAGUCUAACCGGAGCUAACCAGUUCAGGACGGAGUGGUCCACUCUGCUGGUCGACCUGGUCAAAGCCGGUAAGAUCAGUGAUGACGAGGCCAAGACGUCGUCCCACCUCAACAUAGUAGGCAUGGUGGGUUCUAUCGACAAUGACUUCUGUGGCACAGACAUGACCAUCGGGACAGACUCCGCCCUCCACCGCAUCAUAGAGGUGGUGGAUGCCAUCACCACGACCGCACAGAGUCACCAGAGGACCUUCAUCCUGGAGGUGAUGGGUAGACACUGUGGCUACUUGGCCCUGGUGACUGCUCUGGCCUGCGGUGCUGACUGGGUGUUCAUCCCAGAGAUGCCCCCAGAUGAGGGAUGGGAGGGGCAUCUGUGCAGAAGACUGGCUGAUCAAAGGGCCAGAGGAUGUCGUCUGAAUGUGAUCAUUGUGGCAGAGGGAGCUAUGGGCAGAGAUGGAAAACCCAUUGGCUCUGAAGACAUCAAGAAGUUGGUGGAGAAGAAUUUGGGCUUUGACACCCGUACCACUGUCCUGGGACACGUGCAGAGAGGCGGUACCCCCCCUCCGCCUUCGACAGAAUCCUGGGCAGCAGGAUGGGUGUGGAGGCUGUGAUGGCCCUGUUGGAGGCCACUCCAGAGACCCCGGCCUGUGUGGUCAGUCUGUCCGGUAACCAGGCUGUCAGGCUGCCCCUCAUGGAGUGUGUCCAAGUGACUAAGGAUGUGACUACUGCCAUGGCUGAGAAUAGAUGGGAGGAUGCUAUCAAGCUCAGAGGAAAGAGCUUUGAAAACAACUGGAACACAUACAAGAUGCUAGCCCACAUCAACCCUCCAGAUACCAAGAGCAACAUUAAUGUGGCCAUAGUUAACGUCGGUGCCCCCUGUGCUGGUAUGAAUGCCGCCGUGCGUUCUGCAGUGAGGAUUGGAAUCAUUCAGGGACACAAUAUGCUGGCCGUUCAUGACGGGUUUGAGGGUCUCGCUCACGGAAAUAUCGUGCCCAUCACCUGGACAGGAGUGUCAGGCUGGACUGGGAAGGGAGGCUCUGAGUUGGGCACCAAGAGAGUCCUGCCUUCCAAGUACAUUGAGGAAAUCAGCUUGACUAUUGCUAAGUUCAAUAUCCACUCUCUGGUAAUAAUUGGAGGGUUUGAGGCGUUUAUGGGUGGUCUGGAGCUGGUGACAGCCAGGGAGAAGUAUGAGGAGCUGUGCAUUCCCAUGGUGGUCAUCCCCGCCACCGUCUCCAACAACGUACCCGGCUCCGACUUCAGCAUUGGAGCUGACACCGCCCUCAACACCAUCACCUCGACCUGUGACAGGAUCAAGCAGUCAGCAGCAGGCACCAAGCGUCGUGUGUUCAUCAUUGAGACCAUGGGAGGGUACUGUGGUUACCUGGCUACCAUGGCAGGUCUGGCUGCAGGGGCGGAUGCUGCUUACAUCUAUGAGGACAAGUUUGGAAUCAGGGACCUCGAGAUGAACGUAGAGCAUCUCGUGCAGAAGAUGAAGACAGACGUGAAGAGAGGUUUGAUUCUCAGGAAUGAGAAAUGCAAUGCCAACUACACUACAGACUUCAUCUUCGCCCUCUAUUCUGAGGAGGGCAAAGGUGUCUUCGACUGCCGCAAGAACAUCCUGGGACACAUGCAACAGGGCGGAACCCCGACACCUUUCGACAGGAACUUUGGUACAAAGAUGGGCUCCAAGGCUGUUCUGUGGCUCACAGAGAAACUCAAGGAGACGUACAGACAUGGUCGUAUCUUUGCUAACACCCCAGACUCUGCCUGUGUGCUGGGCAUGAGGAAGAGAGCACUGACCUUCCAGCCGUUGGCUGAGCUUAAUGAACAGACAGACUUCGAGCACCGCAUCCCCAAGACAUCGUGGUGGCUGAAGCUGAGGCCCAUCAUGAAGAUCUUGGCUAAAUACAAUAUCAGCCUGGACACAUCUGAGCAUGCCCACAUGGAACAUGUGAUCAAGAAGAGGGUGUCGAUGCCCGCACCACUGAUGAAGGAGCACAAGGAGGAGGUAGAGGAGGAAGAAGAAUAGGGGGAAGAGGAGGAGCAAGAAGAGGGGGAGGAGGAAGAGGAAGAAGAGUCAAUUAUUUUUAUUAAAUGUAUGCGUGUUUUACAUGUAUGUUAGUUUUACAUGUAUGUUUCUGGAUUAAUUAAUCAUCUGAACCAGAGUUACAUUAUUUUGUGCCCGUUGUUUCCUUUCUGAUCUCCUUGGUCUUCUCAACAAUUCUUUCUCACAUACUCUUUCUUCGCGUCUUAAUCAGUUAACCUGGUGGGCUGCCCUGCUCUGGGAGCCAGUUUUGCCUUUCUUCAAGAAUUAAACACUUGUUACUA